rnacentral:hammerhead_ribozyme from 1 species
GUACUGCUGAAGAGUCCCAAACUGCGCUGACGAAACAGCUGUCCAGUAC